UGCCUGGUUGUGGGGUCGCUCAAGGACAGGUGAACGGGAGGGGCUGGUAGAAUGGAAGCAGAAACUGUCCUAACUGUAGCAUAAAAACAGGCACUGUCCUUGGGUGUCUGACUCUCGGGUACACACAUGAAGAUAAGCUAGAAGACAACUAUGGUUGGCAACAAAGAUGCGUCUAGAUGCUGGGACCAGCCGCCAACGAUAGGAUGAAUUCGAACACAUGCAGCCUUAACAAUUUGGUGACCCCGACGUGAUCUGAAGGAACUUCGCUGGAAACACCAGCCUUUUGGGCACGGCUGUCGCCGAACGGGGUCCUCUCACAAAAAGACCGGUCUUCAAAUAACAGCCCUAUGGUAGCAUGACCAAAGCCCUACUGGGACUUGACAACCUAUCUGCUGAAAUGAAGGGUGUAGCAGGGGUAGACGAGGAGAAUUGGAUGAGUACAUUUUUUGGUAAGUACACAUCUAUGGUGGUUACUGGAUUUCUGACCCUGAUUGUUAUGUUGAUGCUAUUAAUGUGCUGUGCUGCCUGUGUAAUACAAUGUUUUAAGAAAUCUAUUACAGAUGUAGCAACUGCUUCAGGUAUGAUGCCUCUCUUAGAGGUUCCUGGGACUGAUACGGAGGCUCAAUUCCGUGCCACCAUGGGGCUUGCUAAGGAUGACCCCUGGUUUGCAGUCAAGGAAAUUGAUGAAUAAAUUGUGCUCUCCCUAUAGGUGGAUUUAAGUUCCAGAUUGGCAACGAGCCCAAUUUGUACAAAGGUUAAAGGGAUGGAGCCAAUGUUUUGGUUGUGACACCUUGCAGGUGUCAAAAGGGGGAAUCUCAAAAUUGUAUUAAAUUUUUACGUUUUUACUAAUUCUUUUUAUGUUUUCUACUAAUUCUGUUUUUAUUUUUCAAUUAUUUUGUUAAAUGACACCUAGUUGGUGUCAAAGGGGGGAUUGUGAGAUUUGGCCCUGCAUAAUGGGGUGUUAAAUUUUAACCUAUACCUUUAAGCUAAUAAGUAUUGUUGGGUUUUAUUUCACUUAUUAGAUAUGAUGCAUUACCAUUUACAGUGGAUGUAGGCCUAAGUAUGAACGGACUGUAAUGCACUAAGAGGUUUAUAUUGUAUUAACAUAGAUUGAGCAACAUAUAAUAGACAUGUCUUCCCUGUAGCUCAGUUGGUAGAGCAUGGUGUUUGCAAUGCCAGGGUUGUGGGUUCGAUUCCCACGGGGGGCCAGCACAGAAAAAAAAAAAAAUGUAUGAAAUGUAUGCAUUCACUACUGUAAGUCGCUCUGGAUAAGAGUCUCUGCUAAAUGACUAAAAAUGACUAAAAUGUACAUGAUUAACUGGAGGGUUGCUGGCUAGUAGGAGUGUAGGCUGAGUAGACUCGUGACACACACACACAAUGCCUGGUUGUGGGGUCGCUCAAGGACAGCAGAAACUGUCCUAACUGUAGCAUAAAAACAGGCACUGUCCUUGGGUGUCUGACUCUCGGGUACACACAUGAAGAUAAGCUAGAAGACAACUAUGGUUGGCAACAAAGAUGCGUCUAGAGGCUGGGACCAGCCUGCACGCCAACGAUAGGAUGAGUAAGUUUAAACCACGCUCAUCCUCCCUCUGACAGGCCAGCAGUGAGCUGGAACUAUCUCUGUCAGAGUAUUUAAUGAAGAACUUAUGAUGUCAUUUUCAGUUCUCUGUUUGCCCUGCGAGGUGUUACAGUGAAUACGGAAUUUGCAUUUGCCAUUUAUUAACCGCUGAAUAAAUAUUGACAUUAAUAUAAAAUAUAA